CUCAUGCUCCCUCCGUUCCUAAAUUCUUGUCUUAAGUUUGUUUAGAAAUGAAUGUAUUUAAAUAAUAAAACUUUUAACAAAUCUAAGACAAGAAUUUUGGGACGGAGGAAGUAUAUC
rfam:Hordeum vulgare subsp. vulgare, WGS project CAJW01000000 data, contig: morex_contig_77364